CCUACGGGAGGCAGCAGUGGGGGAUAUUGCACAAUGGGGGAAACCCUGAUGCAGCGACGCCGCGUGAGCGAUGAAGUAUUUCGGUAUGUAAAGAUCUAUCAGCAGGGAAGAAAAAGACGGUACCUGACUAAGAAGCCCCGGCUAACUACGUGCCAGCAGCCGCGGUAAUACGUAGGGGGCAAGCGUUAUCCGGAAUGAUUGGGCGUAAAGGGUGCGCAGGCGGUACUGCAAGUCUGGAG
rnacentral:rRNA from 1 species